UGAAUACGAGAUGCUACGGCGUCGAAGCAGUCUAUGUCAUACUUCCAAGAAAAGCUUGCACUGUCAUAAACAAAUAAUGCCUGUACCAUAACCGACACAGGUGGGUAGGUAGAGUAUACUAAGGGGCGCGAGAUAACUCUCUCUAAGGAACUCGGCAAAAUGACUCCGUAACUUCGGGAGAAGGAGUGCCUUAUUUAUAAGGUUGCAAUAACAAGAUCCAAGCAACUGUUUACCAAAAACACAGGUCUCCGCUAAGUCGUAAGACGAUGUAUGGGGGCUGACGCCUGCCCAGUGCCAGAAGGUUAAAGAAGUUGGUUAGCAUCCGCGAAGCUGAUAACUGAAGCCCUGGUGAACGGCGGCCGUAACAAUAACGGUCCUAAGGUAGCGAAAUUCCUUGUCGGGUAAGUUCCGACCCGCACGAAAGGCGUAAUGAUUUGGAUACUGUCUCGGAGAGGGGCUCGGUGAAAUAGACUUGUCUGUGAAGAUGCGGACUACCUGCACCAGGACAGAAAGACCCUAUGAAGCUUUACUGUAACCUGAAAUUGAAAUUGGACUUUACUUGCGCAGUAUAGGUGGGAGGCGUUGAGAAUAUUCUUGCGGGAUUAUUGGAGCCAUCAGUGAGAUACCACUCUUGUAAUGUUAGAUUUCUAACUUUGUAUCAUUAUCUGGUCAAAGAACAGUUUCAGGCGGGCAGUUUGACUGGGGCGGUCGCCUCCUGAACGGUAACGGAGGCGCACAAAGGUUUCCUCUGAACGGGUAGAAAUCGUAUCUAGAGUGUAAAGGCAUAAGGAAGCUUGACUGUGAGACCUACAAGUCGAGCAGGGACGAAAGUCGGUCUUAGUGAUCUGACGGUGCUGAGUGGAAAGGCCGUCACUCAACGGAUAAAAGUUACUCUAAGGAUAACAGGCUGAUCUCCCCCAAGAGUUCACAUCGACGGGGAGGUUUGGCACCUCGAUGUCGGCUCAUCGCAUCCUGGGGCGGUAGUACGUCCCAAGGGUUGGGCUGUUCGCCCAUGAAAGCGGUACGCGAGCUGGGUUCAGAACGUCGUGAGACAGUUCGGUCCAUAUCCGGUGUAGGCGUUAGAAUAUUGAGAGGAGCCUUCUUUAGUACGAGAGGACCGAGAAGGACAUACCUCUGGUGUACCAGUUAUCGUGCCAACGGUAAACGCUGGGUAGCUAUGUGUGGAGUGGAUAACCGCUGAAAGCAUCUAAGUGGGAAGCCCACCUCAAGAUAAGUAUUCU
rnacentral:rRNA from 1 species